UUCAUUUGUACUUCUCACCAAGUGUCUGACACAUGGGAGAAUUACUGAGAUCCUAUAGCAUUCAGAACACUUGACCUCAGUUUCUACGUUGAAGAAAACACCCUCUUUUUAAGGAUCCAGCUUCUACUACUGCUAACUGCCAGUUCUCCUCCCCAGCUUCCUCUACCUUCAGGUGUCUUCAUCUUGGAGAACUGGGAAUGUUUCCUCCAGUAACCAACAUGAUGCCUUAUACCCCACAAGGCCAGUAAGUGUACACAAUUCAGAAAUGAAGGUGGAAUGAGUCAAGGAAAUGAUUCAACGCAGAAAACGUAAACUAGACAUAGGAGCAGCUGUUGCUUUGUUAGCAUCUCUGUAGUGGUUGUAGCCUUGUGGCUAUUGAAAGAUUAAUAAAGCAUAAUGCAGUUGGUCA